rnacentral:rRNA from 1 species
UACGUAGGGUGCAAGCGUUUAAUCGGAAUUACUGGGCGUAAAGCGUGCGCAGGCGGUUUUGUAAGCCAGAUGUGAAAUCCCCGGGCUCAACCUGGGAAUGGCAUUUGGGACUGCAAGGCUGGAGUUUGGCAGAGGAGACUGGAAUUCCUGGUGUAGCAGUGAAAUGCGUAGAUAUCAGGAGGAACACCAAUAGCGAAGGCAGCUCGCUGGGACGGUAUUGACGCUAAGGCGCGAAAGCGUGGGGAGCAAACAGG